rnacentral:rRNA from 1 species
GACGAACGCUGGCGGCGUGCUUAACACAUGCAAGCCGAACGGAAAGGCCUCUUUCGGGGGGUACUCGAGUGGCGAACGGGUGAGUAACACGUGAGUAACCUGCCCUUGACUUUGGGAUAACUUCAGGAAACUGGGGCUAAUACCGGAUAGGAGCUCCUGCUGCAUGGUGGGGGUUGGAAAGUUUCGGCGGUUGGGGAUGGACUCGCGGCUUAUCAGCUUGUUGGUGGGGUAGUGGCUUACCAAGGCUUUGACGGGUAGCCGGCCUGAGAGGGUGACCGGCCACAUUGGGACUGAGAUACGGCCCAGACUCCUACGGGAGGCAGCAGUGGGGAAUAUUGCACAAUGGGUGGAAGCCUGAUGCAGCAACGCCGUGUGCGGGAUGACGGCCUUCGGGUUGUAAACCGCUUUCGCUCAUGACGAAGCUUUGUGUGACGGUAGUGGGUAAAGAAGCACCGGCUAACUACGUG